rnacentral:rRNA from 1 species
CCUACGGGAGGCAGCAGUGAGGAAUAUUGGUCAAUGGGCGUAAGCCUGAACCAGCCAAGUCGCGUGAGGGAUGAAGGUUCUAUGGAUCGUAAACCUCUUUUAUAAGGGAAUAAAGUGCGGGACGUGUCCCGUUUUGUAUGUACCUUAUGAAUAAGGAUCGGCUAACUCCGUGCCAGCAGCCGCGGUAAUACGGAGGAUCCGAGCGUUAUCCGGAUUUAUUGGUUUUAAAGGGUGCGUAGGCGGCCUUUUAAGUCAGCGGUGAAAGUUUGUGGCUCAACCAUAGUAUUGCCGUUGAAACUGGGAGGCGUGAGUAAGUUGGAGGCAGGCGGAAUGCGUGGUGUAGCGGUGAAAUGCAUAGAUAUCACGCAGAACUCCGAUUGCGAAGGCAGCCUGCCAAGCCAUGACUGACGCGGAUGCACGAAAGCGUGGGGAUCAAACAGGAUUAGAUACCCUAGUAGUC